ensembl:lncRNA
UUCACCUUUUCCUACACGCUUGCGUGGCGCUGAGAGGAGUUUUGUCCCUGGGGUAUAAUCCCACAGACUAAACCGUCUUGUCUCCCAGAAGGAAAGUGAAUACCCAGAAAGUUUGGACUACUCCUUUAGUGUCAAAUCGUAUUUGUGGACCCGGUAAGGUUUCUGCAUUUGGAGGCAGCUCUAAAAACCAGAAUGAGAAAAGUACAAUUCCCUCGAGAAAGCCAAACUACAAAGUGCUGUGAGUGCAGCUCGAGUGGAAGCAUUUUAAAAUCUUCUGGUGGGCUGAGAACGUUCAUAAACUUCUUUUUCUGCUCGAGCGUUGCCGACUUAAAGAAAGCUCUGUUUGCUCGGGACUCAAAAGGGACCCCGGAGUUCACUGAGGCUUCCCAUGUCCCCCCCACUCACACACUGAUGGGACGGCGGAACAAACUGGACCCUCUUCUGUGUUCUGGUGACACGAGGACAUGGAGACAUCCGGAAGCUCCGGUCCUGAUGGGACGCCUUCAGCCCAAGAGGUCUCUGCUGGACUCCGGCACCGAGCCGGCUCGGGUCCAGUCCUUUGUGGGAGCGACGGCGCACCAAAUAGUGUGUUACAAGUUCCUGGAUUUAAUCUAAACGUUUUUUUUGUCUUUUAGUAGUGAUCUCCAUGGUAUCAGUGG